rnacentral:misc_RNA from 1 species
UUUAGCUUUAUAAAGACUGAGACAACCACUGACAGAGUAUGGACCUUUGGCAGGGCACAGGGCCAUCACAGCCCUGACGUUGCGGCACGCCGCUCCCUGCCAAAGCAACAGAAGGGUUCACAAAGGAUAAGAGCAUCAGGAACUCUGUAAUGAUCCCUCCGCUGGUUCACCAACGGAGA